rnacentral:rRNA from 1 species
AACGAACGCUGGCGGCAGGCUUAACACAUGCAAGUCGAACGCAUCCUUCGGGGUGAGUGGUAGACGGAUGAGUAACGCGUGGGAACGUGCCCUUCAGUUCGGGAUAACCCAGGGAAACUUGGGCUAAUACCGGAUACGUGCGAGAGCAGAAAGAUUUAUCGCUGAAGGAUCGGCCCGCGUCUGAUUAGCUAGUUGGUGGGGUAAUGGCCCACCAAGGCGACGAUCAGUAGCGGGUCUGAGAGGAUGAUCAGCCACAUUGGGACUGAGACACGGCCCAAACUCCUACGGGAGGCAGCAGUGGGGAAUAUUGGACAAUGGGCGCAAGCCUGAUCCAGCCAUGCCGCGUGAGUGAUGAAGGCCUUAGGGUUGUAAAGCUCUUUCGUCCGGGACGAUAAUGACGGUACCGGAAGAAGAAGCCCCGGCUAACUUCGUGCCAGCCGCCGCAGUAA